UACAGAGGGUGCGAGCGUUAAUCGGAAUUACUGGGCGUAAAGCGCGCGUAGGCGGCUUUUCAAGUCGAUUGUGAAAUCCCCGGGCUUAACCUGGGAACUGCAGUCGAGACUGUCUAGCUAGAGUAUGGGAGAGGGAAGUGGAAUUUCAGGUGUAGCGGUGGAAUGCGUAGAGAUCGGGAAGAACAUCAGUGGCGAAGGCGGCCUGCUGGGCUGUUGCUGACGCUGAGGCGCGACAGCGUGGGGAGCAAACAGG
rnacentral:rRNA from 1 species